rnacentral:rRNA from 1 species
GACGAACGCUGGCGGCGUGCUUAACACAUGCAAGUCGAACGGUAAGGCUUUGCUUUUGUGGGAUUCUCGAGUGGCGAACGGGUGUGUAUCACGUGAGUAACCUGCCCUUUACUUUGGGAUAACUUCAUGAAACUCGGGCUAAUAUCGGAUAUGAUCUCCUUCUGCAUGGUUUGUGUUUUAAAGUUUCGGCGGUUGGGGACGCACUCGCGGCUUAUCAGCUUGUUGGUGGGUUAGUGGCUUACCAAGGCACGGACGGGUAGCCAGACUGAGAGGGUGACCGGCCACAAUGGGACUGAGAAACGGCCAAGACGGAUACGGGAGGAAGGAGUGAAGGAUAGUGCAAAAUGGGCGGAAGGAGGAAGGAGGAACGCCGCAUGGGAGAUGACGGCCGGCGGGUUGGAAAGCGCGUUAGACUGUGAAGAAGAGUAAGUGACGGUAAUGGGUAAAGAAGCAACGGCUAACUACGUG